GAGUUGCCUUCACUGGGCGGCCCAGCGGAAUGACGGGAGUUCGCCGUGCGCGGGGCCGCCGUUCGCUUUCCACGCACCUGCGUAGCUCUGCCAGGCGCUCUUCUGGAGGAGGGUCUCUUGAAGAGCUCAGAGAUUCGUUUUCCUUUGUGGAAGGUCAGUGUCCCUGGUGUAAACGCGGUGCUUCCUUAAAGUGAAGUCCCUGGGAAUGCACUUAGUCCCAGCCAGCCCGGAACAACAGGUUGGAGCACGGCGUUUCCUGAUCGCCCUCACUGACGAUCACUUCCGCCCACGGGCCUGGAAUACCCGAGGCCCUUUGGCGGCGAACUUAAGGAAAGACACUUCCGGUAUCUGUUGCCUAGGCGCUGGCCCGGUGGGCCUGAGGGAAGCGACGUUCUUGGCGUCGUCUUCUCCACCCCCCUCUUCCUGGGGGUCGAGAUGUCCGGGCUUAGUCAUGCAGAGAUGGAGGGCUGUCGUAACCUGCUCGGCCUGCUGAACAACGACGAAAUCCUGGCCCUAUGUGACACCAUCACCAACCGCCUAGUGCAGCCUGAAGACCGCCAAGAAUGGGAAGACUGCCUACCCGAGCUUCUCAGACUUGAAUAUGCCUAUAAAUCUCUCAGGAUCUUGUUAAAAUUCAGUCUGAUUGAGUAGUUUUGGAGUGGGCCCAGAAGUUCCACAUUUCUAACAAGUUCCAGAUGCCAUUCGUGCAAUAUUAGUGUACAGUCAAAGUGUAGAAGAACUUUUGAAACGUAGAAAAGUCCACCGCGAAGUCAUAUUUAAGUACUUGGCAACACAAGGGGUUAUUAUACCUCCAGCUACAGAAAAACACAAUCUUAUUCAGCAUGCAAAGGAUUACUGGAAAAAACAAUUACACUGGAAAUUGAAGGAAACACCAGAGCCAGUUAAGACAGAGGACGUUAGAGUCUUUGAACAGCAGGAAAAAGAAGAUAAAAAAGCUGAAAAGAUUGAUUUUCGUCGAUUAGGUGAAGAAUUCUGUCACUGGUUCUUUGAACUUCUUAAUUCUCAGAAUCCUUUUCUGGGACCACCUCAAGAUGAAUGGGGGCCACAGCACUUCUGGCAUGAUGUCAAGCUUAGGUUUUAUUAUAACACAUCUGAACAAAAUGUGAUAGACUACCAUGGAGCAGAAAUUGUGAGCCUUCGUUUGCUGUCACUAGUGAAAGAAGAAUAUCUUUUUCUCAGUCCCAACCUAGAUUCCCAUGGACUGAAAUGUGCUUCUUCUCCCCAUGGUCUAGUUAUGGUUGGAGUUGCUGGGACUGUCCACCGAGGGAACACUUGUUUGGGCAUUUUUGAACAAAUUUUUGGACUCAUCCGCUGCCCUUUUGUGGAGAAUACUUGGAAAAUCAAAUUUAUCAACCUGAGAAUUAUUGGAGAGAGUUCCCUUGCUCCUGGAACAUUAACGAAACCAGCUAUUACACUUGAACCAAGCGAUCUAGAAGCCUUUUAUGAUAUAAACAGUUUAUGUGGUCCAGUGAAGUACGACUUGUAAGGCAGGCAUUGGAUAGUGGGACUGGAGACCAAGCUUUAUCUAGUGGAAAUGAGGCAGUGUUGAACAAAAGAAAACUAAUAACAGGCCUUAAAGCAUUGAGUACUGUAUGUCAGUCUGAAAAAUCUCUACAGAAAUUCUUCCAAAUACUACAUCAGUAAUGUCUAAGUGAUUUCAGAUUCGGGGAUUGACAUAUUUUAGUUGAAAUGUCUUUAUUGACAACAGGCCAACAUAUUUUGUGAAUACUUGCCUCUUUCUACCUGAGCUGCAGCAAAUGUUUGAAAGUUUCAUCCAAUUUGUCAAAUAAAUCCUACUUUAGAUGUUAUAACUACGGUGUGCCUUAGAAACCAGUUAAUAUUUUCAUUGUACUUACUGGAUAUUCUCCUAAUAUCUGUACUUUUCAUGUGGGGGGAAAAAUUGUGUUCAAGGCUUCCCCUUUUAAGUUUUUCUUAGUUACUCUUACCUAAAUCUGGAUAAUUUGACAAAUGCAUCUUAUAACAUUAUUGCUUAAGAAGUAAUACAUAUUUUAGAGAUGUUUAAUGUAAACUCACUUCUCAUUUUAGAAACCUUGAAUGACAUAUCUAUACAAAAAGUCCAGUGAUUUAGUUGGUGGAGCAAAAUUUAACUUGCCUUUUUAAAUAUUAGAGGGACAUUUUUCAAAAUUAUCUAUUGUUGUCCAAGCUAAAUAUUUUAACAAUCUGCAACAUUUUCUGAAAUAUUUUGGGCAAUGAUAACGUGCUGUUCUCAAAAAGCAGACCUUUUUCUUAUCUAAGGCUUCAGCUAACAGUUUUAUAAAGCAUUUUAUUAUACACCAUAAAGAAAACAUACUGUUGACAUUUUUUAAAGUUCCUAACUUAAAUUACUUUUUUUUUUUCCUUUUGAAUGACAUUGGAGAAAGGGACCCCCCCCCAAAAAAAUACCAAGAUAUACUCUAACAUCAUAAAGUUAUUAGAAUUUUUUCACCUCUAAUUUGUUUUACUAGAUUUGAGUUACAAAGUUAAAUUGCCAGAUUACACAGUUGGCUUUCAAGUUUAAAUUCCUCAUCACCCAGCACCUACUUGCUGAAUCUGAAUUUAGUUAGGAAUUUCAAUUACAAAAAUGCCUUUUGGAAAAAAAUUCAGCUGGGAAAUGUGACGAGGUAUUGUGCAUAUUAAUUUUUUAAUUUUAAUUCUGUUCGUGAUCAUCUAGGGUAACAGAACAUUUUGGAGGUGGGAGGAAAAAUUUCAUUUGGGGUUUUUUUUUAAAUGCCAUGCCUCUAAUGAGUAGUACAAGUUGAUAUGUCUUAAAAUAAGAACUUAAUAAAGAAGGGAAAUCCCUUUUGUCUGUUGUAAGAAUUGUGUAUUGUUUAGAUUUAAACCCAAGUUAUCUUUUUCUUUAAGCUUGAAAUAUUAUCAUAACAUGCAGUUGAUAAAUAUCCUAAGGAAAGGAUGAAAUAUAAAACUAUUCUCAUCUGUUUUCUUUGUGCUAUUGAUGUCAAAUACUGCAGAAAUAAUAGUGAAGAUGCUCAGUAUGGGCAGAAAUUGCCUAUAGAUAUCUUCAGUAUUGAAAUUUUGAACGUGUAACACUCAAGUAAGGCCGCAUGUUCUUUUAAUCAUCCUUAAAAAUCUGAAGUCUUUCUGAUAGACUAAAUGAGGUUAAAAGCUGUAUUUUAUUUCCUUUGAGUCCCCACAGCUGGGUACACAGUACGAACUAAUGUCUUAAAUGAAUGGGUGAAUGAAUGAGCAAAAGAAGCUUACACACUGUAUAAGACACUUUUUUGCAUAUGGAUUUUCUUUGGUUCUGGUCAUUAGUGAUUUUUUGGGGGGGGGGGUCAUAGCAUCUGUUUGAAUUUAAUAUACAGAUAUAUAAACUCAUAGGCCCCAAACUAAGAUUAGGAUAAAAUUUAACUUUCCAUUAAAAUUUUCUGACAUUCAAAAGUCAAAGGUCAGAGAAGGAUAUACUGGAGGGCCCUAAGAUACAAUAAAUCCUUACAGGGGAAGUGUAUACUUCUAUUCAGAGAGAAGACCUAGCGGAAUUGGGAAUUGUUUACGAAGCUUAAAGUUUGGUCGGGUCUUGAGAAGGUCCGAAGGCACAAUGCAGAUUGAGCACUACUUUUACUACCACCCACUGCUUGGUUUAUGUUAGGGAAUGGCAGGGCAUGCAGCUGUGGCUCUUAUUUCCUUACACUCAGCUGGUAUUUGUGAAGUUUGUGGAGUCAAGUAAUAAAGAAUACACAUAAUUCAUUGUAAUUGGAUGGUCAAACUAGGGGACAUCUGGGCUUAAAAUUAAUAGUUGGAUUGUGGGAUGUUUUACUAGUAUCUAGAAUACCACAAAACAUUUAAUGGUUUUUAACUAAAAUACCAAAUAGGAAAAAAGCCAUCUCUAAUUUAUUAAAUCAACUUGAAACAACAGGAAAAUGUUCUUGGGUUUUCAGAAAGGAAACAUUUUAUGCUAAAGGCAGGCCAGUUAGCUAGUUACAGUAAGCAAUUGUAACAGCACCAGAAAAAGAUUUAAAGAAUAGUGGUUUAAUUAAAUUUAAAAAGGUAAUCAGAAACAUUGUGUUUUAACAAAAUGGCUCUUAGGGCUUAAAAGAUCAAAAUUGAACGAAAACCCUAUCUUAACACUUUUUUUCAGCAUCUGUUUUCACAAAUGUAAGUGCCCUUUUCUCCACCCUUUUUUUCCCCUUUUUUUUCUUGGUGAAAGUUCCCAAGUCAAGGAUUGAACCGGAGCCACAGCAGUGACAAUACCAAGUCCUUAACCCACUGGGCUACCAGGGAACACUUGUUCACUAUAUUUUAAUUUGGGCUGUAGGGGAUGGUCAUUGACCGUUUGAAAAAUGAGAGCUGUGUUCUUUUUGCAUAUAGUAUUAGGAUUUUUGUAUAUUUCAUUCAUGGACUUCCCUAAAGCACAUCUGUGAGUCCUAUAGGGAUCCUCAUACUCCAUAUUCAAAUCCUGCCUUAAUCAUUUUAUUUCUCCCAGACUAUUAUUCUACUGUAUUAAAAAUUAAAAUUAUUUUUUAACACAGUGUCCUUGCAAGAGUCCUUAAGCUAGAUGGAGGGCUGAAUCUUAAUGAAAGAAUAGUCUCUAGCAAAUUUGUUAGUUUAUGAUAGUUAACUUGUGUAUUUUAUUUUUCAGUAGAUUCUAGAUAACAAGAAAAAAAACCUGAAAUACUGUCAAGUGAAAUGAAAUAUUCAGAAUUCACUUUUUUUGACAAGUUUAAUGAACAUACUUUGAAGAAAGUGAUAAAAAUGAAAAAAAAAUAAGUAAUGUUCUCAAGAUCUUUACAAAACUUUAUCCUAAGAUGUUUAUUUGAUAAUGAUUGUAUAUUGCUAAUUCUGAUGAAAGAUUUGAAAAAAACAAGCAUUUCUUCUGCUGGUUCUAUAUUUGUGAUCACCUACCUACACCCCUCCCUCCCCAACCCUAUUUUUUAACCUUUGUAUAUAGCCAAUUUGAAUGCAGGUAGCACAGCUGCAGUGCUGGGAAACACAACUUUCUGGAUCUGGGUUCUCUUCAAGUUUAUAUGCAUAUUAUUUUUUGAGCACCUACAAUCUGGAAGUCACCAAACCAAGCGCAAGAUAAAAUACAUCAAUAGGUUAUUUACUUCUCACGUUGAAUUCAGAUCUCAGUGUCUGGUUUAGAGAUCUUAAAGUGAGAACCAGAUUAGGCCCUUUGCUAGAGUUGGAAGGAAAAUAUUCCAGAACUGUAUCAGAGAGCAUUAAAAAUCCUUUCAACCUUAUUUUUUCUAGUUUGAACCUUUCUUAGUCUUUCAUUUAAGAGUUAAUAAUAGAAUUGUGAUUUUGAGUUAUGAUGGGGCCCAAAAUAUUAACUUGGAAACUCCACAAUUACUUGUAUUAGUCAUGAAAUGUUAAUAGAAUUACUGGCCUAAUCUCAUUUACCUUUUCAGUGAGUCAUUUAAUGAGGGUUCUUUUUUUUUUUUUUUUGUCAUUUUGUAAUGAGGGUUCUUUUGUUAGUAGUUUUCAUCUUCAGUUUUUAGAUACCCUAGUUGUCAAGUAGGAAAUUAGUUAUAUUUGAAUUAAUGAAUUUAAGGAUUGACGGGAUCUCCUGCUGCCCACUGCCAGCUGUUACUUAUCUGAUGUGAUGUUUUCUGAACAACAACAAAAAAUUUAGAAAAGCCUUUGCAAGCAUUUAGUUUCCUAAACUUUGCUUUUCCAUCCCUUCUAUCUUUAACUAUAGGAAUAAUUAGUAUCAAUUGUUCUAAAAUUGUUACAUGUUCUAAAAUUGUUACAUGUAAUAUAUUUUUGCUUACCUAGAUGGUGUAUUCCUAGAACUGGUGAUUCUUACUAUUUCACAACCUUUUCCCCCCAUGCCUUGCAUAGGAUAAAUAAUAGCUAAAUUUGGAGAGCUUAUAUGGCAGUUACUUUUUGGCACAUGAUGCAUAUAUUCAUUCAGUCCUAUUCAUAGCUGAAUGUGGCAGAUGCCAUUCAUAAUUCUUCCCAAGCUUUCAGAGCUACUGGUAGAGCCCAGGUUUUAGAGCCUGAGAGCCAUGUGGUAACUGGUACAUUAUAUUGCCUCUUAUAUACAGUAGAUUUUUGAGGAAUCCUUUUUGACUAGUUGUCAUUUGCUGGUGCAUAUUUUCAAAGGAAAGGUGCCCUUAAUUUGAGUUGUUUUAUCUCAAGUUAAGUGGGAAUGUUAAUACAUUCUGUAUCUCCUUAUACAUCUUAAGAUGGCUCAUUUAGUAAUUUAAGACUACUUGAAGAUAGACAAUAUUCCUGAUGAGAAAAAAUAAAUUGAAUAAUUGGGAAAGAAAAUAUGUGCAGUUUACAUCAAAUCUCUUCAACUCACUAUGUCACCACAAUCUCUAUUCCUCUUUCCUUCCUGUUUGUGACUUUCAGCCUCAAAAAUAGUCUUUGUUUUACACAGUUUCUUGUCAUGUCUAGAUGCAGCGUAUUUCCGGUACUGUUUUCUAUUUCAAUGCUGUGAUUAGACCCUCUCUAUCUACACCUUGACUUACAUAAUUUCCUAUUUUUUGCUUUAAUAUUUCCUACAUAUCCAUGACAUCCAUUUUCUUUAGGUACAGCUUUCAUCAUAUUUCCAUGUUCCUCUCAGUGCUGUUAUAUUACCUCCAAAAAUAAAAUCCAAAUUUCAUAAUUUUUUUUAAUCACUCUCUAGCUUUGAUUCCAUUCUUUUUCAUACGUGGUUUGGUCCAGCUGACAUCUACUGCUAGGUAGUCUUUGUAUUUAUCCUGUGCUUAUUCAGCCCUCUGCUUUUAUUGGCAAGGACCCACAAUUUUAGAAUUUCAUUUUUUUGUUUUGCAGACAGACUAAUACUAUAGAAAGAAAAGGACCUUGAUUGAAAUUGAGUUUAAAAACUGGAAAUUUCUUCAAUACGUCAGGCUUUUUUUUGCUUAAGAGUUUUGUAGACAUUGUCUAGGAUAAUCUUCCCCCAGCUUUUUCGUGGCUGCUUCGUUUUCACCUUUGAAGAGUUGGCUUAAAUGUUUCUCCUUUCUAAGUGGACCCUCUUGUUAAAUUACCAAAACACCUUGUUUGUUUCAGUUUUUAGCACUUUAGAUGUUCUUGUUAACUGAUUUUCCUUGCUAUAUUUUAAGCUGAGAGUGGGGAUUUAACUGUUUUAAUUUCCUUGUAUUUCCAUUGCUUUGCACAAAGACUAGGUAUUCAGUUAUUAAAAAUAUAAGUAAGGGCACCAUACCAGUUUAUAUUCAGAGCCUCAUAUAUAUUUCUGGUCCUUUGACUAUCUGCCAAAGAUAAUGCCUAGCAUAUAUAUUAGAUACCAAGAAAUAUUUGUUGAAUGAAUAAGGCCAAACUUAUCUUCUUGAAUAAUGAUAUCUGAACUCAAAUUAACAACACUCUUUGGUAAAUGGAAUUACUAAAGUCUUAUGCUUUUGUAAAAGAUAACUGAGGUCCUAGAAGUUAAAUAAUGUGCUGAAGUGCACAUAGUUUUGUUGUAGAGAUUUUUUCCUCUGGCUUUUAUUUUUUAAACUACAAAGCCUAUGUUUUUUUCUUGGCACUUUAUUUCUAGUCUGACUACUCCUACUUCCUUUAUUUUGAAAGAAUUUAAACUGUAAUCCACAAUUUCUUCACAAGUAAAAAUGAAGCAGGUGAUUUCUAAGGUCUGCUAGAAUUCUGAAGUUACUUGAUCUUGUGAUUGUAUGCCUUCUGAGCAACUUCAAAGAUGUUACUUUUUUUUUUUUUUUUUUUUUUUUUUUUUGUCUUUUCCAGGGCUGCAGUGGUGGCAUAUGGAGGUUCCCAGGCUAGGGGUCUAAUCAGAGCUGUUGCUGCUGGCCUACACCAGACCUGAGCUGUGUCUGGGACCUACACCACAGCUCACGGCAACGCCGGAUCCUUAACCCACUAAGGUCAGGGAUUGAACCCGAAACCUCAUGGAUCCUAGUUGGAUUCAUUAACCACUGAUCCACAAAGGGAACACCAAAGAUGUUGCUUUUAAAUGAACUUGUAGUUCAUUGUUAAGGAUAUUAUUAUUUUGUUUCCUCAUAAUUCAUACUCAUUGAAAAAUACACUUCUUAUUCUUUGUUUUUUCCAGACACUUGAAAGGAUAUGAGUGUAGUGUGUAUGUGUAUCUAUUUACAGAGGAAAUAAAAGAUAAAGGGGAAAAAUGUAUGAAGCCUUUAAAAUACUCCUACUUUUUUUUUUUUUUUUCUCGUCUUUUUAGGGCCACACCCAUGGCAUAUGGAAGUUCCCAGGCUGGGGUCCAUUUGGAGCUGUAGCUACCGGCCUGUGCCACAGCCAUAGCAAUACCAGAUCUGAGCUGCCUCUGUGACCUACACACAGCUCACAGCAAAGCCAGAUCCUCAACCCACUGAGGGAGGCCAGGGAUUGAACCCACAUCCCCAUGGAUACUAGUCCCUCAUGGUUAGUAGUCAGGUUCAUUGCUGCUGAGCCAUGAUGGGACUCCCAAAAUACUGUUCUACUUUCUAAUCACUAGAAAUGCUUCAGUUGUUUUUAAAAUUACUGCUCUGUAAAACUUUAUAGCUUUGUUGCAUAUGGUUAAAAUAUAUUUCCAUAUUUUAAUCAAGAAAAGAAUUUGAUAGAAGGCAAAAUUAUAGACUACUAGUAAACCCUAGUAAAAAUAAAGGUAUUAAUCAAAUAAUGAUUAUUCCCUCCAAGAGAUUGAGUAAUAGGAGUUGCAAAUAUUUAAGAGUGACACUGGAGAUAAGUGGCAGAUUUGGGAUAGAAUUUUUCUGUAGAAAGAAUGGCCCUCAAUGGAUAUGGUGUUUAAGGUCAUUGAAAAUUAUUCCAGGAAGUGUAAUGGAAAACCUUUGUUUAGUAGACAGGGGGUUUUGCUGUAAUGACUGCACUGAUUGGAGAAGUACAGCUUUGUGAUAAAGUUUAGAGUGCAGAAACAAGGUAAUGAUAAAAAAUUUACGCAUGUCAGAGGCUUUAAUGUUCAAACUACUAACAAAGCAAUCAUCAAAUCAUUGAACAUAAAUUGCUAGGGAUUAAGAAAUUGUAGAAUAAGCCAUAUUUUCAUUCUAAGAGCAACCUUAUAUUAGAGCAAGAGUUUAGGUAGGACUGAAAGUGAUUUACAUAACAAUGUUUUUAAAUAUUCUUUGAAUUUGGUAGACAUUUAUUGAGCACUUAGUAUGUACCAGGUAUUUUAACAGAAGAUUCUUGGUACAUAAAAUAGCUUACUGUUUGUAGUUUAUGUAUUUCUUCUCACUUUAAUUUGUAUAAAAUAAUGUUUACUGUUUAAUAAAGAAUUUUUUUAGAAA